rnacentral:rRNA from 1 species
GAUGAACGCUGGCGGCGUGCCUAAUACAUGCAAGUCGAGCGAACAGACGAGGAGCUUGCUCCUCUGACGUUAGCGGCGGACGGGUGAGUAACACGUGGAUAACCUACCUAUAAGACUGGGAUAACUUCGGGAAACCGGAGCUAAUACCGGAUAAUAUAUUGAACCGCAUGGUUCAAUAGUGAAAGACGGUUUUGCUGUCACUUAUAGAUGGAUCCGCGCCGCAUUAGCUAGUUGGUAAGGUAACGGCUUACCAAGGCAACGAUGCGUAGCCGACCUGAGAGGGUGAUCGGCCACACUGGAACUGAGACACGGUCCAGACUCCUACGGGAGGCAGCAGUAGGGAAUCUUCCGCAAUGGGCGAAAGCUUGACGGAGCAACGCCGCGUGAGUGAUGAAGGUCUUCGGAUCGUAAAACUCUGUUAUUAGGGAAGAACAAAUGUGUAAGUAACUAGGCACGUCGUGACGGUACCUAAUCAGAAAGCCACGGCUAACUACG